rnacentral:tRNA from 1 species
UGUAGCAUAAUGGCUAAUGCACCAGAUUCCGAUUCUGAAGAUUGGGGGUUCAAAUCCCUUCA